rnacentral:rRNA from 1 species
AUUGAACGCUGGCGGCACGCCUUACACAUGCAAGUCGAACGGUAACAGGUCUUCGGACGCUGACGAGUGGCGAACGGGUGAGUAAUACAUCGGAACGUGCCCAGUCGUGGGGGAUAACUACUCGAAAGAGUAGCUAAUACCGCAUACGAUCUGAGGAUGAAAGCGGGGGACCUUCGGGCCUCGCGCGAUUGGAGCGGCCGAUGGCAGAUUAGGUAGUUGGUGGGAUAAAAGCUUACCAAGCCGACGAUCUGUAGCUGGUCUGAGAGGACGACCGGCCACACUGGGACUUAGACACGGCCCAGACUCCGACGGGAGGCAGCAGUGGGGAAUUUUGGACAAUGGGCGAAAGCCUGAUCCAGCAAUGCCGCGUGCAGGAUGAAGGCCUUCGGGUUGUAAACUGCUUUUGUACGGAACGAAAAAGUCUCCUCUAAUACAGGGGGCUCAUGACGGUACCGUAAGAAUAAGCACCGGCUAACUACGUGCCAGCCGCCGCCGUAA